rnacentral:rRNA from 1 species
GCUUAACACAUGCAAGUCGAGGGGCAGCAUUUUAGUUUGCUUGCAAACUGAAGAUGGCGACCGGCGCACGGGUGAGUAACACGUAUCCAACCUGCCGAUAACUCCGGGAUAGCCUUUCGAAAGAAAGAUUAAUACCGGAUAGCAUACGAAUAUCGCAUGAUAUUUUUAUUAAAGAAUUUCGGUUAUCGAUGGGGAUGCGUUCCAUUAGUUUGUUGGCGGGGUAACGGCCCACCAAGACUACGAUGGAUAGGGGUUCUGAGAGGAAGGUCCCCCACAUUGGAACUGAGACACGGUCCAAACUCCUACGGGAGGCAGCAGUGAGGAAUAUUGGUCAAUGGGCGCGAGCCUGAACCAGCCAAGUAGCGUGAAGGAUGAAGGCUCUAUGGGUCGUAAACUUCUUUUAUAUGGGAAUAAAGUUUUCCACGUGUGGAAUUUUGUAUGUACCAUAUGAAUAAGGAUCGGCUAACUCCGUGCCAGCAGCCGCGGUAAUACGGAGGAUCCGAGCGUUAUCCGGAUUUAUUGGGUUUAAAGGGAGCGUAGGUGGAUUGUUAAGUCAGUUGUGAAAGUUUGCGGCUCAACCGUAAAAUUGCAGUUGAAACUGGCAGUCUUGAGUACAGUAGAGGUGGGCGGAAUUCGUGGUGUAGCGGUGAAAUGCUUAGAUAUCACGAAGAACUCCGAUUGCGAAGGCAGCUCACUAGACUGUCACUGACACUGAUGCUCGAAAGUGUGGGUAUCAAACAGGAUUAGAUACCCUGGUAGUCCACACAGUAAACGAUGAAUACUCGCUGUUUGCGAUAUACAGUAAGCGGCCAAGCGAAAGCAUUAAGUAUUCCACCUGGGGAGUACGCCGGCAACGGUGAAACUCAAAGGAAUUGACGGGGGCCCGCACAAGCGGAGGAACAUGUGGUUUAAUUCGAUGAUACGCGAGGAACCUUACCCGGGCUUAAAUUGCAACAGAAUAUAUUGGAAACAGUAUAGCCGUAAGGCUGUUGUGAAGGUGCUGCAUGGUUGUCGUCAGCUCGUGCCGUGAGGUGUCGGCUUAAGUGCCAUAACGAGCGCAACCCUUAUCUUUAGUUACUAACAGGUCAUGCUGAGGACUCUAGAGAGACUGCCGUCGUAAGAUGUGAGGAAGGUGGGGAUGACGUCAAAUCAGCACGGCCCUUACGUCCGGGGCUACACACGUGUUACAAUGGGGGGUACAGAAGGCGGCUACCUGGUGACAGGAUGCUAAUCCCAAAAACCUCUCUCAGUUCGGAUCGAAGUCUGCAACCCGACUUCGUGAAGCUGGAUUCGCUAGUAAUCGCGCAUCAGCCAUGGCGCGGUGAAUACGUUCCCGGGCCUUGUACACACCGCCCGUCAAGCCAUGAAAGCCGGGGGUACCUGAAGUACGUAACCGCAAGGAGCGUCCUAGGGUAAAACUGGUAAUUGGGGCUAAGUCGU